UUGUGGGAGCAAGCCAUGGGCUAGGUUCCGCUCCAGGUCAGACCAUGGUUGGCACUGAAGAGUGCGGCGACACUACAGAGCUGUGAACGAAGACAGUGAACGGCGAGAUGUGGUGACCGCUUGUCUGACUUGUGCCCAAAGUCGUGAUCUACCGCUGGGGUCAGUGCGUGAGAAGCUGGACUCGGCACCAACGGAGGACGCAGCUCGACGAGGAAGCUAUGCUGUGUUGACGGACGUCUGCCGGUUACGACCGGAAGGUUUCCGACGGGACUUGGCAGAACCCACAACAGCAGUAUGAACCCGGCGUGGAGUUAAUGCGUAGUUGCUCGCAUGAGCAACCGAAGAGCGACUUCCAGGCGAAGAUGCCGCAGAAUUCCUGGAGAUGCGCUGGGACAUGGAUCAUAGCAAGGUGGCUCUCAGCGGCAGCUGACCGCUGAGAUGUGUCUGAAACAGCCAGAAGGAAGACUCGAGUUGUGGUUCCAGGGCACGACUGAACAGAAGGCGGGACCAGCUGUAGGGAGACUACAGCAAAGCCGUCGUUCUCAAUCUGCUGAACAGACUCCUGCUGCAGAGGAAAAACUGGGGUUCGACGUGUUAGAACUGGGGUUAGACCGGUUACCAGUGCUCGUGUUCGUCACCUGUUUGUCACUGCUGUGCUGCUGCUGUAUGUCAUGUUUGCCACCUGCUAAACGUUCACAAUGUAUUUUGAGUGAAUAAUAACUUUUUUAGUGUUUGUCUUGAUUUGUAACGAAUAUAUCAAGUAUUUUAACCUUUCAUCAAAUGAAGGACUCCACAUAAAAAUAGUAUAGGCUGUGGUGGUACAGACACAUACCAUGCUUGGCCGACUAUUGUGUAUUGAUCUAGUCGUUGAAGCGUCCUGAAAGUCUGGAAAUAAACAGGCAUGGCCAAAUGGAUUGGUUCUAAUUAUUUUCCCGUGUGGUUUUAUCGCUUCCCUAUUGCGGGAAAACAAGUGGACAAUUUUGUUUGUAUGUAAACAAGCAUGUGUAUACAAAUAUUUGUAUG